AAUUAAUAAGUUAAUAAACAUAUAUUUUGAAAAUAUAAAAAAAAGACUCAAAUCUUUAUUAAUUUAUUUUAAAAUUACUAAAAAU
rnacentral:tRNA from 1 species